GUAGGGAAUAUUGGGCAAUGGAGGCAACUCUGACCCAGCCAUGCCGCGUGCAGGAUGACGGCCCUCUGGGUUGUAAACUGCUUUUAUACGGGAAGAAAAAAUACUACGUGUAGUAUACUGACGGUACCGUAAGAAUAAGGAUCGGCUAACUCCGUGCCAGCAGCCGCGGUAAUACGGAGGAUCCAAGCGUUGUCCGGAUUUAUUGGGUUUAAAGUGUGCGUAGGCGGAUCUUUAAGUCAGUGGUGAAAGCCUGCAGCUUAACUGUAGAAUUUCCAUUGAAACUGAAGAUCUUGAAUGUGGUUAAAGUAGGCGGAAUGUAUCAUGUAGCGGUGAAAUGCUUAGAUAUGAUACAGAACACCGAUAGCGAAGGCAGCUUGCUGAACCAUUAUUGACGCUGAGGCACGAAAGCGUGGGGAGCGAACAGGAUUAGAUACCCGUGUAGUCC
rnacentral:rRNA from 1 species